AUGAUCUCCAGAAAAUCAUUUUGCGCAAAUAAUCAUGUUGUAUGUUUCUACUUACAGAGAUGCCAAAUGAUGCAGAGAGCUCAUAACUGGAAUUUGUCCUGUCAGAUUGUUCCCCACAAGCCAGCUGCAACAAAGCCUUUCUCGAAUCAGAAACCUAACUUCUCAUUUAGUUUAGCAUGCAGAUCUGACAUCAGUUGGUAUCAAGAAGCUUACACGCUCGAGAUUGCAGUCAGGUUAGCAAUGCUGUCAGAUAUGGACCCUCCAACACUGAAAUUGGUGAGGUUGCUGCAGCAGCAAAUGCACAACGCUCAUCGUCCAUUGUUGAGAGAUUGA
rnacentral:rRNA from 1 species